CUAAAUCCUGGUUGAAAACAGUCUUGGGGGGACGGCCAGACAUGCAGCUCAGGCGGCAGGGUGCUGGCUUACCAUGCACAUGGCCCUGGGUCCCAUCCCCAGCACUGCCUAAGAGCUAGGAUGGUGGAGCAUGCCUAUAACCUCAGCACCUGAGAAGGGAAGGCAGGGGGACCAGAAGUACAGGGUCCUGUUCAGCUGGAGGCCAGUCUGGGCUACAUGACACCCUGUCUCAAAAGACAACGUUUCAUUUAAAGAAAGAAAAGGCAGGAGGCUGGGGAUGAGGAAUGACGCUGGAAAGGCAGCUCAGGCAUGAGCAUCAAGCCUGAAGUCCUACAUUUGAGCUCCAGGACCCACACUAAAAAAUAAUGAAAAAAAAAAAAUUAAAGCUCCCCUUGAGGGGGGAACAGCCUUGCCAGGCCACAGAGGAGAACAGUGCAGCCAGUCCUGAUGAGACCUGAGAAGCUAGAGUCAGAUGGAAGUGGAGGAGGACCUCCCCUAUCAGUGGACUUGGAGACAGGCAGGUGAGAUUGGGAGGGAAUGAGGGAGCGGGAUACAGCUGGGAUACAAAGUGAAUAAACUGCAAUUAAUAUAAAAAAUAAAAAUUUAAUUUAAAAAAAAAAAGCCAGGUGUGACCAUAGGUAAUUGUAAUCCCAGAGUUGUGGGGGCAGAAGCGACAGAUCUCUGGGGGUGAUAGAUAGCCAACCUACUCCAAAGAGCAAGUUCCAAGAUAGUGUCACACACACACACACACACACAAACACACACAAACACACAAGACAGUAUCUUGAGAAACAACACCUGAGAUUCACCUCUGCCUACCCCCAGACACACCUGAAGACACACAUACAUGUAUAUACAUGUACACAUACAAACACACACACAAAUAAAAGAGAAAUGAGCUCCGUAACUGACAGGUCACACAGCCAGAGGGAGAGGGAGCUUCCUUUGUGCUUAGGACCCCGUGCUCCCACGAGGAGAGACAGGUUUGUGGAGAGCCGGGGUUUGGUUGCCAUGGCGCUGGCUUCCGCCCUCAAAACUGGUAAACCGUUAUCACCGUUGGGCAACCGUCGUCACGAGCCCAGCCCGGGGCAUCAUAUGGGGUGAUGGGUGAGCAGCCAAUCAGGGAAUGAUGCGUCAUCUCACAUGGGUGAGCAGCCAAUCAGGGAAUGAUACGUCAUCUCACACCACUCUGGUGCGAGCAGGGCUUAUAUAAACAGCGCCACUUCGGGGCUCGGGGUCUUCCUUCUUUCAUCGCUUGAUUGUAAUAAAGCUUGCUGCAGAAGGAUCCUGUUGUCCGCGUGCGUUCUUGCUGGCGAGACGAUUACGCGGCUCGCAACAUCUGGUGCCGAAACCCGGGACGCCGGGAGCCUGCCAUCGCUGGUGCCAAGGAGACCCCCUGUUCGCGGGGAGGAUUCAGAACUGCAGCAUCGAGGAAGAAAACAAUCCAUUCUGGGUACCGGAGCGCCUCACGUGAAAGCUCGCGGCAGCUGAAGAUGAUCUUUCAAUGAAUAUACCUGCAACUACUUGAAGAGCUAAGGGUGGCGGUGGUGACCAUUAAUUCUACUCAAGUGGAUUUAUCGCUCACAGAUGGCUUAUUAUCCUGGGUUUCUUCCGCCUUUUCUUAUUUUAAGGAAUGGGUGGGCGUUGGGAUGUUUGGCGCUGCCCUGUGCUGUGGUUUAAUAUUUGUCCUCUGGUUGUUCUGCAAACUCAAAACCCAACAAAAACGUGACAAGGUGGUGAUUGUACAGGCGCUAGCCGCUCUGGAGAAAGGCACCUCCCCCGAUAUUUGGUUAUCCAUGCUGAAAAAUUAAUGUUUGACAAGGUUGCCUCUGUCUUUGCAGGCACAUGCCACAAUCUGGAUUUACAGCCCUUGCACUCCCUGGGGAUCUGUUUCCCAUUGCACGGGGAUGGGUGUAAAUCACAAUUUUUCUCUUGCCAAACGAUCUGGAAAGUCAGUGCCGGAAGAGUGCAAAUAAGUCUUCACCGACCUAAGACAGGACAGCCUCACAGUGAGGAGGUUGCUCCAAGGCUGAAGCAUUGCCUUCCACCAGGCUCAGACGUUGGCUGUCUGGCAUAAUGCUGUAUUGACAGUAGGAAGCUUACUGUUCAAACAAAAUAAAAAAGGGGGAGAUGUGGAGAGCCGGGGUUUGGUUGCCAUGGCGCUGGCUUCCACCCUCAAAACUGGUAAACCGUUACGACCGUUGGGCAACCAUCGUCACGAGCCCAGCCCGGGGCAUCAUGCGGGGUGAUGGGUGAGCAGCCAAUCAGGGGAUGAUAUGUCAUCUCACACCAUGGGUGAGCAGCCAAUCAGGGAAUGAUGCGUCAUCUCACACCAUGGGUGAGCAGCCAAUCAGGGAAUGAUACGUCAUCUCACACCACUCUGGUGAGAGCAGGGCUUAUAUAAACAGCGCCACUUCGGGGCUCGGGGUCUUCCUUUCAUCACUUGAUUGUAAUAAAGCUUGCUGCAGAA